UAAUACGGAGGAUGCGAGCGUUAUCCGGAUUUAUUGGGUUUAAAGGGUGCGUAGGCGGUUGUAUAAGUCAGCGGUGAAAUUUUCCGGCUUAACCGGGAGACUGCCGUUGAUACUGUAUAGCUUGAAUACGGUUGCUGUGAGUGGAAUGUGUGGUGUAGCGGUGAAAUGCAUAGAUAUCACACAGAAUAUCGAUUGCGAAGGCAGCUCACAAAGCCGUUAUUGACGCUGAUGCACGAAAGUGUGGGGAUCAAACAGGAUUAGAUACCCUGGUAGUCCACACUGUAAACGAUGAUAACUAGCUGUCGGCGAUACACCGUCGGUGGCCAAGCGAAAGCGAUAAGUUAUCCACCUGGGGAGUACGACCGCAAGGUUGAAACUCAAAGGAAUUGACGGGGGCCCGCACAAGCGGAGGAACAUGUGGUUUAAUUCGAUGAUACGCGAGGAACCUUACCCGGGCUCGAACGGUGCAGUAAUAUGGUAGAGAUAUCAUAGCUAGCAAUAGACUGUAUCGAGGUGCUGCAUGGUUGUCGUCAGCUCGUGCCGUGAGGUGUCGGCUUAAGUGCCAUAACGAGCGCAACCCUUGUCGUUAGUUACCAUCAAGUAAAGUUGGGGACUCUAGCGAGACUGCCACCGUAAGGUGUGAGGAAGGGGGGGAUGACGUCAAAUCAGCACGGCCCUUACGUCCGGGGCGACACACGUGUUACAAUGGUAGGUACAGAGGGCCGCUAUCCAGUGAUGGAGUGCCAAUCUCAAAAACCUAUCUCAGUUCGGAUCGGAGUCUGCAACUCGACUCCGUGAAGUUGGAUUCGCUAGUAAUCGCGCAUCAGCCAUGGCGCGGUGAAUACGUUCCCGGGNCUUGUACACACCGCCCGUCAAGCCAUGGNNNCCGGGGGUGCCUGA
rnacentral:rRNA from 1 species